UAGCAUUACCGAGACUCGAUCUUGGAACCUUAACGUGUUAAGGGAACUUGAUAACCAACUGCACCAUCAUACA
rnacentral:tRNA from 1 species